CUUACUAUAUAAAGAGUCAGUUCCAAAGUGGAAAUUUGUCAAAAGUAAGGUUUCACUUAUAAAAUCGAUAACGUGUCUAAAAAAAAAAGUUUCGUUUGAAAAUGAGAGUGUUUUGGCAAGUUUGUUUUCUUGUAAUUUUUUGUGUAAUUGAAAAAAAUUGGGCACAAAACUGCGAUGAUGGUAGUGAGCAAAAUUCAUUCUGUGAGAGAUACAGUAUAGAGACAUUUUUGGAUGUCACUUUUGAAUGUUGUAUGGAUGUUUUUGUAUACUGCUGUAAACGUUGUCCAGAUCCAGAAGAUAUAUUUGGAUUUGAAAAUUGCGUGGGUUAUCUUUGUGAUGGUGAUGAUCUUCAAUGUCCUGGAGUGCCUGAACGAGUUGCUUCAGUUGAUGUUGACUUAUGGGGUAAUAGUCCUUCUGCUGAUGUCUCUUUGCGCCCUAUGCAAUUUGUAGAUGGUACUAUAACAGGAAUAUUCAACACUUUUGAAGGAGAUUGCUGCCCAUGUCCAGAUUAAGCUUUACUGGCUCCGUAUGCGUUUUGAAAUUUUUGUCAGAUUAAAAUUAAUUGUUCUAUAGAGAUGUUUUAAAGCAAUAUCUAUCUAUAUAUCUUGUAGAAUUCUCGUGACUUUUUGUAGAUCUCAUUUAAAAAAUACAUUUUUUUCCAAUUAUUCUUGUUACAUUCGUUGCAGUACUUUUAGCUACUGGUUCUAUAAUGAUUUAUUUUUAAAUGCGUGAUAUAAUACCUCACUGGAAUGUUAGAAUAGUGCAUAUUAUGUGUGUUGAAGUUAAAUUAAUUUGAAUUAGUUGUGUUUAUUUUAGGUGGCCAAAAGGGCUUACUCUACCCUAUAAUGUAAAUCUGUUAUAAUCUCUAAAUAAUUCACCUCAAUAAAUAUUUGAUUAAAACAA